UACGGGGGGGGGCAAGCGUUGUUCGGAAUUACUGGGCGUAAAGCGUGCGCAGGCGGUUCGUUGUGUCUGAUGUGAAAGCCCCGGGCUCAACCUGGGAAUGGCAUUGGAAACUGGCGAGCUAGAGUGUGGCAGAGGGGGGUGGAAUUCCACGGUGUAGCAGUGAAAUGCGUAGAGAUGUGGAGGAACACCGAUGGCGAAGGCAGCCCCCUGGGUCAAGAUUGACGCUCAUGCACGAAAGCGUGGGGAGCAAACAGG
rnacentral:rRNA from 1 species